GGUUAAGUUAGAAAGGGCGCACGGUGGAUGCCUUGGCACUAGGAGCCGAAGAAGGACGGGACUAACACCGAUAUGCUUUGGGGAGCUGUACGUAAGCGUUGAUCCAGAGAUUUCCGAAUGGGGGAACCCACUAUCUUUAGUCGGAUAGUAUCCUUACGUGAAUACAUAGCGUGAGGAAGGCAGACCCAGGGAACUGAAACAUCUAAGUACCUGGAGGAAGAGAAAGAAAAAUCGAUUUCCUGAGUAGCGGCGAGCGAAACGGAAAGAGCCCAAACCAAGAAGCUUGCUUCUUGGGGUUGUAGGACACUCUAUACGGAGUUACAAAAGAAAGUUAUAAAUGAAGCGGUCUGGAAAGGCCCGCCAAAGACGGUAACAGCCCGGUAGUUGAAAUGGCUUUCCCUCCAGAGUGGAUCCUGAGUACGGCGGAACACGUGAAAUUCCGUCGGAAUCCGGGAGGACCAUCUCCCAAGGCUAAAUACUCCCUAGUGACCGAUAGUGAACCAGUACCGUGAGGGAAAGGUGAAAAGCACCCCGGAAGGGGAGUGAAACAGUUCCUGAAACCGUGUGCCUACAAGUAGUUAGAGCCCGUUAAUGGGUGAUAGCGUGCCUUUUGUAGAAUGAACCGGCGAGUUACGAUUUGUUGCAAGGUUAAGCGGAAAAAGCGGAGCCGUAGCGAAAGCGAGUCUGAAUAGGGCGCAUAAGUAACAGGUCGUAGACCCGAAACCAGGUGAUCUACCCAUGUCCAGGAUGAAGGUAAGGUAAUACUUACUGGAGGUCCGAACCCACGCACGUUGAAAAGUGCGGGGAUGAGGUGUGGGUAGCGGAGAAAUUCCAAUCGAACUUGGAGAUAGCUGGUUCUCUCCGAAAUAGCUUUAGGGCUAGCCUCGAGGUAAAGAGUCAUGGAGGUAGAGCACUGUUUGGACUAGGGGCCCUUCUCGGGUUACCGAAUUCAGAUAAACUCCGAAUGCCAUGUACUUAUACUCGGGAGUCAGACUGCGAGUGAUAAGAUCCGUAGUCGAAAGGGAAACAGCCCAGACCACCAGUUAAGGUCCCCAAAUAUAUGUUAAGUGGAAAAGGAUGUGGGGUUGCUUAGACAACCAGGAUGUUGGCUUAGAAGCAGCCACCAUUGAAAGAGUGCGUAAUAGCUCACUGGUCGAGUGACCCCGCGCCGAAAAUGUACCGGGGCUAAACAUAUUACCGAAACUGUGGAUGAACCUCUUUAGAGGUUCGUGGUAGGAGAGCGUUCUAAGGGCGGUGAAGUCAGACCGGAAGGACUGGUGGAGCGCUUAGAAGUGAGAAUGCCGGUAUGAGUAGCGAAAGAAGGGUGAGAAUCCCUUCCACCGAAUAUCUAAGGUUUCCUGAGGAAGGCUCGUCCGCUCAGGGUUAGUCGGGACCUAAGCCGAGGCCGAUAGGCGUAGGCGAUGGACAACAGGUAGAGAUUCCUGUACCAGUGCUAAUUGUUUAACCGAUGGGGUGACACAGAAGGAUAGGGAAUCGCACGAAUGGAAAUGUGCGUCCAAGCAGUGAGUGUGAGAAGUAGGCAAAUCCGCUUCUCGCGAAGCAUGAGCUGUGAUGGGGAAGGAAAUUAAGUACGGAAGUUCCUGAUUUCACGCUGUCAAGAAAAGCCUCUAGGAAGAGUAGUACUGCCCGUACCGCAAACCGACACAGGUAGAUGAGGAGAGAAUCCUAAGGUGAGCGAGAGAACUCUCGUUAAGGAACUCGGCAAAAUGACCCCGUAACUUCGGGAGAAGGG
rnacentral:rRNA from 1 species